GUCGACUCGCGUCUUACCUGUACAGUAUUAGAAGCUCGAUCUGUCUAAUACUGUCAGGUAAUGAUGCUAGUCGUG
rnacentral:pre_miRNA from 1 species